GAUGAACGCUGGCGGCGUGCCUAAUACAUGCAAGUCGAGCGAACAGACGAGGAGCUUGCUCCUCUGACGUUAGCGGCGGACGGGUGAGUAACACGUGGAUAACCUACCUAUAAGACUGGGAUAACUUCGGGAAACCGGAGCUAAUACCGGAUAAUAUAUUGAACCGCAUGGUUCAAUAGUGAAAGACGGUUUUGCUGUCACUUAUAGAUGGAUCCGCGCCGCAUUAGCUAGUUGGUAAGGUAACGGCUUACCAAGGCGACGAUGCGUAGCCGACCUGAGAGGGGGAUGGCCCAAACUGGACUUGGGCACCGUCCAGACUCCUACGGGAGGCAGCAGUAGGGAAUCUUCCGCAAUGGGCGAAAGCCUGACGGAGCAACGCCGCGUGAGUGAUGAAGGUCUUCGGAUCGUAAAACUCUGUUAUUAGGGAAGAACAAAUGUGUAAGUAACUAUGCACGUCUUGACGGUACCUAAUCAGAAAGCCACGGCUAACUACGUG
rnacentral:rRNA from 1 species